AUUGAACGCUGGCGGCAUGCUUUACACAUGCAAGUCGAACGGCAGCGCGGGCUUCGGCCUGGCUGCGAGUGGCGAACGGGUGAGUAAUGCAUCGGAACGUGCCCAGCAGUGGGGGAUAGCCCGGCGAAAGCCGGAUUAAUACCGCAUACGACCUGAGGGUGAAAGCGGGGGACCGAAAGGCCUCGCGCUCUUGGAGCGGCCGAUGUCGGAUUAGCUAGUUGGUGGGGUAAAGGCUUACCAAGGCGACGAUCCGUAGCUGGUCUGAGAGGACGACCGGCCACACUGGAACUGAGACACGGCCCAGACUCCUACGGGAGGCAGCAGUGGGGAAUUUUGGACAAUGGGGGCAACCCUGAUCCAGCCAUGCCGCGUGCGGGAAGAAGGCCUUCGGGUUGUAAACCGCUUUUGUUCGGGAAGAAAUCCUCUGGGCUAAUACCCCGGGGGGAUGACGGUACCGGAAGAAUAAGCACCGGCUAACUACGUG
rnacentral:rRNA from 1 species